GAGCCGCAGUGCUUUACGAUGCCGACCACAGUUUGGAAUUAGGGGAUACAGACAUUCUGAUGGCAAGGGUCAGGGAAUCUCCUAGGACACUGGAGGAAUACCAGGCCUGGGGCUAAGCAGCUCGUUUUUCCUUUUUGACACAAAGGAGGGGCUGGAGGCUUCUGAGCCAAGGCUCUGCUGGACUAGGGAUGGUGUUGCCAAUGAAUAGCAUGGAUUGGAAAAGACCAGACUGGAAGUGGGAGCCGGGCAACUAGGGAACUGGAACAAUAGGCCAAGCGGGGGGCCAGCGGUUGGCAACAGGGCCCAUGUGGCCCCAGGCAAUGUGAAGGCGGUCAGUAGGCAGGGAGGUGGGGUGGGAAAGGGAUCAGCUGGGGGAGGUAGGCAGAAAAGGCUCAGGUCCAAGUUCCAGGCCAUGCUAAGGCAACAAGUGUCACAGAGGUCCGUGGUGGGGCCGAGGAUGGACUGCAGACCCUAAAGGCCAAGUCCAACUUCCCUCUAUCGCUCCUCUGGGUGAAGAAUGCAUGUUUCCUCCAGAGUCUCAGAUUAGAUAGACAUCCUUUGACCUUGUCUAUCCAGUUCUGUUUCCCUCUUCUUCCCAUAGGGGUCUCCCUCCCUCCCCGUCCUUAAGUGGGGCGGGCACUUAGCCCAGGGUGGUGAUAUGACCCAGUCCUAUCCAAUCACCAUGGUCCCGCCUCCUGGCUACCACAAUUGGCUCAGGGAUGAGCACGUGGCCCAUAGCAGCCCAGUGAGAGUCAGCCCUGGGUGGGAACUGGUGGGAAAGAAUUCUGCUGGAGCAUCUGGAGUUGCUCAAAUGGAGUGGCUGUGGCCAUCUUUCCUUACACGUGGGGAGGAAUCAGCCUGAGAAUGAAACCAUCACAGGAAAGGGCUGAAAGACGGUGAGUGUGUGCUUUCUAAGGGCAGCAUUUGGGCCUUGGCCCCAGCCGGCCCUGAAGCCAGCACAACCCCCGGAACGUCUCAAUUUGUGAGCCAAUAAAUGCCCUUGAUGGUUUAGGCAAGUUUUCACUGGGUCUUACCCGACGUGAGCCCCCACUCCUCCAUAUGGACCUGUUUUGGACCAAUGAGGCAUCCUCUUCUGUAGUCCUCAACACGCGGAGCUCCACCACUCCUGAGCAGUGUGACCUCAGGUGCUUGCUGCAGAGGCAUCGGGGGUCUCUGGCCAGAGGUGACAUCUGAAGCAAUCGGGAUCCUGUUUGGUUUUGCCACAUCCGACCUGCCGCCCAGCUGGGGCAAGACAGCCACGCGCGGCGGAUGCACCGGCCCUGAACUCUUUCUCGAGUAGUCCCCAGAGAUUUCAGGAAGAGAGAGAAGAGGUAAAGAGACCAGAAACAAAGUCUUCUGCAAGCAAAGAACUGCAACAGGCCCCAGCUGUUAGGUUUGAGGGGCGUAUGGGGCAGGCGACUGAACUGCAGAGUUGGAGCCAGAGGUACCAUUGCUGACCCCUGAGCCCAGGAGCCUUGAGAAUACUGACAGUGUUAAUAAUAACUGCAAUCAUCCAACAUAUGAUGCUAGAAUAACUGGACAUCUGUGUGCAAAAAUAUUAAACCUAUACCUUGCACCUUA
rnacentral:lncRNA from 1 species